rnacentral:rRNA from 1 species
UACAGAAGGGGCAAGCGUUGUUCGGAAUUACUGGGCGUAAAGGGCGCGUAGGCGGCCUGCUAAGUCGAACGUGAAAUCCCCGGGCUCAACCCGGGAACUGCGUCCGAUACUGGUUGGCUUGAAUCCGGGAGAGGGAUGCGGAAUUCCAGGUGUAGCGGUGAAAUGCGUAGAUAUCUGGAGGAACACCGGUGGCGAAGGCGGCAUCCUGGACCGGCAUUGACGCUGAGGCGCGAAAGCCAGGGGAGCAAACGGG